rnacentral:rRNA from 1 species
GCUACCACAUCCAAGGAAGGCAGCAGGCGCGCAAAUUACCCAAUGCUAAUUCAGCGAGGUAGUGACAAUAAAUACUGAUACGGGGCUCUUUCGGGUCUCGUAAUUGGAAUGAGUACAAUCUAAAUCCCUUAACGAGGAACAAUUGGAGGGCAAGUCUGGUGCCAGCAGCCGCGGUAAUUCCAGCUCCAAUAGCGUAUAUUAAAGUUGUUGCCGUUAAAAAGCUCGUAGUUGAACCUUGGACCUGGCUGAUCUGUCCUCCUCAUCGAGCGUACGGAUUCGGUCGGGUCUUUCCUUCUGGGGAACCCGAUGCCCUUUACUGGGUGUCGUGGGGAACCAGGACUUUUACCUUGAAAAAAUUAGAGUGUUCAAAGCAGGCCUUUGCUCGAAUACAUUAGCAUGGAAUAAUAGAAUAGGACAUCGGUUCUAUUUUGUUGGUUUCUAGGACCGCUGUAAUGAUUAAUAGGGAUAGUCGGGGGCGUCAGUAUUCAAUUGUCAGAGGUGAAAUUCUUGGAUUUAUUGAAGACUAACUACUGCGAAAGCAUUCGCCAAGGAUGUUUUCAUUAAUCAGUGAACGAAAGUUAGGGGAUCGAAGACGAUCAGAUACCGUCGUAGUCUUAACCAUAAACUAUGCCGACUAGGGAUCGGACGGUGGUUUUUUUAUGCCCCGUUCGGCACCUUACGAGAAAUCAAAGUUUUUGGGCUCGGGGGGGAGUAUGGUCGCAAGGCUGAAACUUAAAGAAAUUGACGGAAGGGCACCACCAGGCGUAAACCGA